GUUUGGUUUCUGGGUCUUUGUUCCAGCGGGCCAGCCACUCUUUGCUGGUGCCUCCCUGUACCAACUUCUGUACCUGAAUUAUUGCUCACUGAAGAGCUGGCAUUUAGCUUUUUGGAAAUUGUUUCUAACUCACUGGAAAUGCAGGAAGCGUGAGUAUAAAACUCACUCAGAAAAAAAAAAAAGAAAAAAGAACACACACUCAGAAGAAACCACAGGGCUUAUCGGCCUGUCGUCAUCGAGCAGACUAGAAUAGUGUAGAAAACCCUAGGCAGAGAGGAAAUGAACUUCAGAGAAGGGGAACACACGGCUGAGAAGAGAGAGGCAAGGGCAGGAGUGAAGGAGAGAGCUGAAGCCUGGGGCUCCGAGAUGGUCAGAGGAUGGGAGACGGGGCCGUGAAACAAGGCUUCUUGUAUCUUCAGCAGCAGCAGACGUUUGGAAAGAAAUGGCGCCGCUUUGGCGCCUCACUGUAUGGAGGGUCGGACUGCGCCUUGGCCCGGCUGGAGCUGCAGGAGGGCCCGGAGAAGCCUCGUCGGAGUGAGGCUGCCCGGAAAGUCAUCCGCCUCAGUGACUGCCUGCGGGUGGCCGAGGCCGGCGGAGAUGCCAGCAGCCCCCGGGACACCAGUGCCUUCUUCCUGGAGACCAAGGAGCGCCUGUAUCUGCUGGCGGCCCCUGCAGCGGAGCGUGGCGACUGGGUGCAGGCCAUCUGCCUCCUGGCCUUCCCCGGGCAGAGGAAGGAGCUCUCGGGGCCAGAGGAAAAGCAGAGCCGGCCCUGCAUGGAGGAAAAUGAAUUGUACAGCAGCACAGUCACAGUUGGCCCCCACAAGGAAUUUGCUGUGACCAUGAGACCUACAGAAGCCAGUGAGAGGUGCCACCUGCGGGGAUCCUAUACCCUCCGGGCUGGGGAGAGUGCCCUGGAGCUGUGGGGUGGGCCUGAGCCAGGGACCCAGCUGUACGACUGGCCCUACAGGUUUCUGCGGCGCUUUGGGCGGGACAAGGUAACCUUUUCCUUUGAGGCAGGCCGUCGCUGCGUCUCUGGAGAGGGCAACUUUGAGUUUGAAACCCGGCAAGGCAAUGAGAUCUUCUUGGCCCUGGAAGAGGCCAUCUCUGCCCAGAAGAAUGCUGCACCCCCUACACCCCAACCCCAGCCAGCCACAAUCCCCGCCUCGCUGCCCCGUCCUGAGAGCCCCUAUUCCCGGCCCCAUGACUCACUGCCACCGCCUUCACCCACCACACCGGUGCCUGCUCCACGGCCUCGGGGCCCAGAAGGGGAGUAUGCCGUGCCCUUCGAUGCAGUGGCCCGUUCCUUGGGGAAGAACUUCAGGGGCAUCUUGCCAGUCCCUCCUCAGCUCCUGGCCGACCCUCUGUACGACAGCAUUGAGGAGCACCUGCCCCCUCGACCUGACCACAUAUACGAUGAGCCCGAGGGAGUGGCUGCUCUGUCCCUCUAUGACAGUCCGCAGGAGCCCCGGGGUGAGGCAUGGAGGAGGCAGGCGACAGCUGACAGGGACCCCGGUGGCCUCCAGCAUGUCCACCCAGCCAGGCAGGAUUUCUCUGCCUCUGGCUGGCAGCCAGGAACUGAGUAUGACAAUGUUGUACUUAAGAAAGGCCCGAAGUGACAGAGGCAGCAGAGGGAUGGUCCACCGCCCCCUGGCUUCUGCUGGUGACUUCUCCUGGCCACUGCAUCAGAAGAACCUCCUCUGCCCCUUCUGGAGCCCAAGGCCUGGCCUGCCUUCGUUGGGGCUGAUAAAUUGCCUCUCCCAGGGCCUGCUUGGGUGUGUCCAUGGACUUCAGCUAUCAACCCAGUCCGCCGACAGCAUGGGCACUGUUUGUGGGAGGCUGUAGGCUGCCUGGCCUCUGAGAGACACACUGCCCAGAAGGGGAUGAGAUGAGACAAGGCACAGGUGUCUGUCACAGAGCGGGUGUGAGUGCCACAAGGGACCAGACAGGGCCAUGAGUGCCAGAGAGAUAUUUAUUUAUUCAUUCAUCAAACAUCACGGGUAAGUGCUGAGGAUACAGCAAAGAACAAGUCAGACAUGGUCCCUGCCCUCACGAAGCUCACAGCUGAUUGGUGGAGACAGGUCGUAAACAAGAAGGCAUGAUGUUAUGAAAGGAAGGAAGAGACAGGGUCUCACGCUGUAGCCCAGUAUGGAGUGUGGUGUAGUGGUGUGAUCUCGGCUUACUGCAACCUCUACCUCCCAGGUUCAAGUGAUUCUCCUGCCUCCGCCUCCUGAGUAGCUGAGAUUACAGCCACACCUGGCUAAUUUUUGUACUUUUACUAGAGAUGGGGUCUCACCAUGUUGGCCAUGCCAGUCACAAACUCCUGACCUCAAGUGAUCUGCCUGCCUUGGCCUCCCAAAGUGCUGGGAUUACAGAUGUGAGCCACCACGCCCAGCCAUACUCGAUGAUUCUUGAUGGGCCCUGGAUCCAGCUGACAGCCACCUGGGAGCUGCACCACGGGGAAUGCUGCGUAGGUUCUCAAGUGCACAUCUCACGGCUUCCCUGACAGGUGAAAAUAAAGACCUUGGAAUUCCAGGUGAUGUGGGCUGCCCCUCCCUCAUGAGGUCAGCACAGUGAGUGCACUUAGAGUUGUCCUUUCUCUGGAGGAAUCUGCUCUCUGAGCCUCCAAAGCUACAAGGAUUGUGGAUGUGCCCUGGGCUGGGGUUGCUGUCUUUGGAUGCAGAUGCAGACAUCUGGAGCCGGUGCUCCCUGAGCCCUGCCGCCUGGGCCAGUUGAUGCUCUCUGUGCACUGUGUCAUGGGGACAGCAGAGGCCACUCCUGUAAUACCUGAGAGCUGGGGUUGUCUUAAGAAUAAAGCACACUUGUUGAGGAC